rnacentral:rRNA from 1 species
UGACCAGACUCCUACGGGAGGCAGCAGUGGGGAAUAUUGCACAAUGGGGGAAACCCUGAUGCAGCAACGCCGCGUGAGUGAGGAAGUAUUUCGGUAUGUAAAGCUCUAUCAGCAGGGAAUAGAAAAGAAGGUACCUGAAAAAGAAGCCCCGGCUAACUACGUGCCAGCAGCCGCGGUAAUACGUAGGGGGCAAGCGUUAUCCGGAUUUACUGGGUGUAAAGGGAGCGUAGACGGAAAGGCAAGUCAGAAGUGAAAGCCCAAGGCUCAACCAUGGGACUGCUUUUGAAACUGUACAGCUUGAUUGCAGGAGAGGCAAGUGGAAUUCCUAGUGUAGCGGUGAAAUGCGUAGAUAUUAGGAGGAACACCAGUGGCGAAGGCGGCUUGCUGGACUGUAAAUGACGCUGAGGCUCGAAAGCGUGGGGAGCAAACAGGAUUAGAUACCCUAGUA